GUCUAAGUACAAACAGUUUUAAUGUGAAACCGCAUAAGGCUCAGUAUAACAGCUAUAAUUUACAAGAUCAUUUACCUAGUUACUUGGAUAACUGUGGAAAAUCUAGAGCUAAUACAUGCAAAAUGCAGGGACCUCGCGGAACCUGUGCAAUUAUUAGUCAAACCAAUCGUCCUCCUCCUGGGGCAGCGAAUGACCGAAAGGUUAAAGCUGCCGGAAAUAAAGUAAUUAACAACAACAACAACAAUCGUCCUCCGUGACGCUUGAGUUGAAAUCUGGAUUAUUUUGUUGAUCGCAUGGUCUCGCACCGGCGACAGAUCUUUCAAACAUCUGCCCUAUCAACUAUUGAUGGUAUAGAGGACGAGGGGUGAG
rnacentral:ncRNA from 2 species